AAAACUAAAACAAUUGAUUUAGGAAACAAAAAGUAAAGGAAAGGUGUACGGGUUUCCUAUAACCCACAAUCACCAAAUGGGGUUUCUAAAUCCCUAACUCUUUCUUCUCCGGCGACGGCCUCCAUGGAGUUGGCGGCACAGCCAAAGCUUCCGUUUUCAUCUAUGGCUUGCGAUGGUGGUGACGCGGUGGUUCGAUUUUCGUCCGUGACGGCUUUGAAUCGGGUAACGAAAUGAGGAAUCAUCCUCCUCAAUCUCUUUGUUUUGUUUUUCACUAACCUUCUUUUACUUUGAUUCAUUGUUCAUCCUUUGUUUAUGGUUUCUUCAUAAUGAAUGGGGUUAAGAUCCUUAAUCCUUAUUUUUAUCCUCCAUUUGUUUUAUUUUAGACUCUUGUAUUUGCGUUUUUAGGAUUAUCGAUAUUAUAUAAUGCAAAAAAGACUAAUAUUGAUAGGUUUUCUUGAAACAAAAAUUACUGAAAAGGGUUUUCUAUUUCGUCAUAUAAUGCAUAUUGAUGUCAAUGAUUAAUACAGAUUCGUAACUUAGCACAAUGAGUGAUAAUGAUAACAACAGAACCAUAUACAUGGGAUUUAUAAUUGUAGGAUUAGCAUUUAGCAGGGUCUAGAGUGCAAUGUAUUGCAAUGUCGUCUUAAUUCUUUGCUGCUUAUGUAGCUUGAAGAUAGGCUUAUGACAAAUGAGUUUGGGUAACGAUUAUUCCUAAAUUAGUCAAAACUGUUUUUAAGAUUAUCGUGAUAUGUUGUUUUAUUUGAUCCAGUGUGUUUCUAUGUAACUGUACGAACAUGGUAGUACAAAAUAGGUAUAAGGACAGAAAACCAGUUUAGAAGCUGAAUAAGGAAAUAUUACCUGGUAUGACGUGUGAUUUUUUACGGAGUUGCUUCAAUAAUACGGAUGUUGUAUGUUAUUGGUUGGAUCUCCACGUGUGUAUUCUGGAUUGCGGUUUUUGUCCUUGUUUCUGGGUUUUCUGCACUAUAUGUGAUGCUUAAAAAAUAUGUGUGUUAUCUUUUCUCAGUUAUGGUCUCUUCCUAAAUUUCCUAUAUUCUGGUCCCUUGUCACUGCGUAUAUGUGUAUGCUCCUAAUGUUUCCUUGUUAUCACUAUGUGGUUUGUAUGUGUGUAUGCUAAUUCUGGAUGAUCUCUUUGUCUUGCUGAAAGCUUUUUCUAGCGUUUUAUGUUCUCUCUACAGCUUUUUGAUUGCACUAUAACUGUAUACUCUCUCCUCUUUUCUCUUUUACUAAGUCUCUAUGGAAUGCUCUCUGCUUGUACUGAGUGUAUGUGUGUAGCAAUGUUAUCUUCCUAUAUGAAUGGAACAGCUAUUUAUAGCUGAGUAAGGGUUAAUACAAAACCUUUCUGAAUUACUAACUGAAACCAGAAAUUCCAUGCCUUUUGCUCUCUGACUUUAAUAUGAUAAAUUGCCUGUGAAUGCUACUAAUGAUUGCUUGAUCUGUAACUGUUUGCUGUUUUUUUCUUUGGGAGAAUUCUUAGUUAGCCUUUACCAAUUCCUUUUGGCUGAUUGUAACAGUUGUUUACCACCACCUUUAUUAUGCCCUUUCAAAUUUUUGUCCUGAUUAUUCUCUUAAGGCUCCCACUAAGUGCUACUAAUAAAGAUAAAGUGUAACUGAAAUCGGGGCAUCCUAACCUAUAAGGAUUUCUGGUGAGUAUCCUUUUUAUUGUAUCUUUUGAAACCUGUAUGCUGACAAUCUCGGCAGAAUCAUUCUUGCUCCGGUUUUCGCUUGAUUGCUAACAUGGAUGCUAUAUUAUUUGUAGGUGGAAAAGGAUUACUAUGGUUAGUGGCUCCUAGCCACCACAAUGAGUUGUCUAGGCGAAUAUCUUUUUAUGCACAGAAAGUGGGGCUUACUAUAGCUGGCUUGGUUUGGCUUUUAUUGGAUUGGCUAGUGUUGAUGUUGAGCACUCUUUUGAAUUUUCAAAGCCACAUAUUUGAAGUACAGGGUAUCCCAAGCGAGCCAAACAAUGAAAAAAAUGGCGUAACAAGUUUGUUUCAGUUGUAUACGUGUUCAAGGUUGCUGGGGGGUUUGCUUUUUUUGUUUUGGGAAUGUUAUUUGAGGAAUGGACAGAAGAGAUUGAGGAUAAUAGGAUAUGGUGUGAAGCGGUGAUUAGUUGGGACCUGGAAGUGUUGGAAUACCCCUUUUAUUUGAAUGUGCUUUACUGCCUUAUUAUCCUUAUUGGAAAACAAUUUUGUUCUUAUUUUUUUGUACUUUUAGAGACCGGUAAAACAGAUAACUUUCCAGCAAGUGUUAAUAUUUUCCUUAUAGAAUGAACAUCGUAUUUCCUUUCAUGCUUACUCUUUCCAAUGAUUGUAAUUAGUAUUUGCGUUGGACAAUAUUUGUAACCGAACACGCGUUCAGGGAUAACUUGGUUUUCACAAAAUAGCAAGAAACAACCCAAAAGACAUCAUGGUGUCUAAGGAUAAACC
rnacentral:lncRNA from 1 species